UACGUAGGGUGCAAGCGUUGUCCGGAAUUAUUGGGCGUAAAGAGCUCGUAGGCGGUCUGUCGCGUCGAAUGUGAAAACCCGGGGCUCAACCCCGGGCCUGCAUUCGAUACGGGCAGACUAGAGUUCGGUAGGGGAGUCUGGAAUUCCUGGUGUAGCGGUGAAAUGCGCAGAUAUCAGGAGGAACACCGGUGGCGAAGGCGGGUCUCUGGGCAGUAACUGACGCUGAGGAGCGAAAGCGUGGGGAGCGAACAGG
rnacentral:rRNA from 1 species